ACAACUUUUAACAACGGAUCUCUUGGCUCUCGCAUCGAUGAAGAACGCAGCGAAAUGCGAUAAGUAAUGUGAAUUGCAGAAUUCAGUGAAUCAUCGAAUCUUUGAACGCACCUUGCGCUCUCUGGUAUUCCGGAGAGUACGCCUGUUCGAGUGUCA
rnacentral:rRNA from 1 species